ensembl:lncRNA
AGGUUAAAAAAGAAUAUUUUUCUUGCCCCAUUGGCAGAUUUUUUGGCUUGUUUUAAGCAAAAACUAACAAAAUUUACAUUUUUUUUUUUUUUUCAGAAACCAAGACAUAAUAUCUCAAGUCAUUUUACUUGUAAAGCAAAUGCACCUUGAUUCAAGAAUUUUUAGAUAUUUAUACUAGAAACAAAAUACUAAGAAAUUUUUGUGCAGUGCAGUAGUACUCAACACUGAUUACUGUCCUUCAGUGUGUGUGUGUGUGUGUGUGUGUGUGUGUGUGUGUGUGUGUGUGUGAAAAUAUUAAAAUGUAACACCCUUUAUAAUCAUUAACAUUUUCACAUGUAACUAAUACAUUCACACUUUUUUUUGAGUAACUGUAACUGAUUACAGUUAUAUUUAUUUUGUAAUUAAAUUAGAUAACAGCGUUACAUGUAACUAGUUACACCCCAACACUGUCCGUGUGAACAUCAAACACAGAAAGAAGCAACCGAGCGCUCACAAUCACGUUACACUUCAUUUUGAUGAUCGCCUUUAUAGAUUCUGUUGACUAGAAGUAAUUUGCAACUACAUCAGCUAACUCUCAUUAGAGUAUUAGAGUAUUAGAAUGUCCAUCAAAAUAAAGUGUUAGCAGAUAUUAAGCAGACAGUUGAAAUGUCACUUAUAUCAUCAAAAUAAAGCAUUACCCGCAAUUAUAUAAUAGAAAGCUGCGUAUUACCAGAAGACACUCUGUCUUUGUCGUAACCGGUUUAGAUCACGUUAUAGAUACGGAUCAGUGGUUACAUGCAAAGCCUGUGGGACUUUAGGGAGCUGAUCUCUAUAUUGCAUGUUUCCCUUGCUCUAAUGAAGAGAGCAGAUCCGGUGUCCUUCCUGAAGGAAGUGUUUAUCUGUGGAUUUGGAACACUGUGCUCUCGGACAGCAUCAGCUCAGUAUCGUCAGAGCGCUCACAAGCGAGGAACACAAUCAGACAGUUCAGUCCUCGGUCUCUUGAGGAUCUCGUGGAGGGUUUGGACGAGCUCCAUCCAGCUAUCAGCUGAGAACAGACUCCCCGCGACCCGCAGACAAGAACUUCUCACAUCCCAAGACACGUGCAUCUCCUCAAACCUGCCAAGAACAUCCCCCAGAAUCAAAACUGAAACAGGCAGACUCUCCUGCAGCUCCUCUCUCCGUCAGCUUCAUUCUUCUGCUGAAUAAAAGCUGCUCUCGAGCCUUUAGCGGUGCGUGUGUUUCUUAUAAAUUCGCCAAUAACUUCACAUGGGCUUUGAUCUGAGAGAGAGCGAGAGAGACGGCAGGCAGGCGAGCGCGGUGUAGAUUAUGGCACACAAGAGAUUGUUUGAGUCUGUGAGCAGAAGAUGGAGGUCCUGAAGUGUGUGAUGAUGUGGACGUGAGCGUCGUACGGAAGUGAUUUCAUCCUUUCCAUUCCGUUCCGUCGACUGGACUCUGUAUUUGGACACAUUAAUUGAUGAAUUACAUGAAUGCCAUUAUUUACCAUUUGCUUGUUAGAGAACUAAUAAGAAUAAAUUAUGCUGAAAGCUGAAAUUUUCA